GGAUCUUAAAUCAUUGAUACACAUGGACCAUAUUGGAAGACAUGGGCAAACUCAUAAACCUAUAACUACAUCACCAAUGCAAGGGUUCUAAUCUAGUUAUGGGAUAAAGAAAACGUGGCGCACUUCUAUCAUAUGGCCUUCACUUCUAUCCUCAAUUGUGGCGCAUAUACAGACGGGCUAAACUUCAAAUACAAUUCUACUCCAAUGCUAAUUUUUGUUUGUACAUGCCAUGUCACCCACCGCUAAGUUAUCGGUGCAAUGGGUUUGAUCUAAAGUUUUAUUUUCUCGUUUUACAUCUUGG
rnacentral:lncRNA from 1 species